UCUCCUCAGGAGACGCUGGUUUUCUGCACCAGCAGUCACGUUUCUGUUUCCUGGACACAAAUAUCCUCCUGAUUUCAUGAACACAACGAGGAGAUGUGCAGGACUCAGACUGACGGCAGCAAACACAACGGCCGCAGGAUUCCUUCAGGUUAACCCUGGUGCUGACUACUGGAGCAAGACUUCAGGAUGGACUUCACAGAGGCCUUUGUCCUCCUCCUGGGAUGUUGCUCCGUGUGGCCGACAGCCCCAGGACAGUCUGUCAUUUUCUCUGUGGUUUUCAGUGAAGAGAUCUGGCUGCUGGUCAGCGCUGCUGAAGCAGACUGUGAAGGAGAUGUUGGUCUUGAAAACAAGACCACAGGUCCAUCCUUUCAGAUCUUAUCAUCAGCCCUGCUCUCUCAGGAUCGGAGAUCUUCUCACCUGCUGGUCUGUCUCCUGACGGCAUUAAACUCAUCUGCACAGGACGUCAUGUGGUGGGUCGAUGACACGCCGGUGACAUCAUCAGGGGCACAGAUGUCACUGAUGAGGUCAGAGAACGGCGGAGCCUACAGCGCCAUCUCUGUGUGGGAGGUGUCGGCAUCUGACUGGAAGUCCAACUCCACAUACUGGUGUGGGACGAUCCAUAAGGAACAUGUUUACAGAGAGAAGCUCUGCUGGCAGGAAAUAUAUCAAAACAAAACUGUCAAAUUAAAUUAAGCCUUUUAAUU